rnacentral:tRNA from 1 species
GCUCGAGUGGCGGAACUGGUAGACGCGCUGGACUUAAAAUCCAGUAAACAGAAAUGUUUGUAUGGGUUCAAGUCCCAUCUCGAGUA